GCCGAGUAGCUGAUAGAAAUCAGAAAAAGUAGUUUUUUGUUUUGAUUUUCUUCUUACCUUUAUAUACGAAUACGCUGGAAUUACCGUAACCUAGAGACGAUGCUUGAAAACUUUUCGAAAAUAAAUGUCUCAUCGAAAGGCGAUAAAGAGUUAGUUAGCCGAAUACUUGAAGUCCAUAAUCGUUUUGUUACUUUUUACUUUAAAUGCAAAAACUUUAUUACUAUAUUUGUAUUGUGUAAUUUUAUAUUUAUUAAAACUUUACUGUUUUACAGUACAAUGAGCAUAUACGUCUGCACAUACUUAUACAUACUUAAUUUCAAGCCUACGUCAGAUUACUCCUCUCCUUCUCCCUUCUAAUACAUCUCCGCGAAGGUAUACUUUAAUUCAAGUUUACAUCGUCCAAUUGAGUUUUAUUAGAACUGCAAAUGUUUUUUGUUAAAAAAUAAGAGUAUGUACAUAUGUAUAUCGCCACAUAGUGCGUAAUUAAAGAAAUUUGUGAGUCUAAGAUUACUAUCAGUGCAUCCGAAAAACGUAAAAAUAUUUCGUAGGCGUACAAUACUUAGAUAAAUGUUUACAUAAUGGCUUAAAACCAUCUUUUAUCCUUUUUGUGCACUGACUUAAUAAGUAUUAGAAGGCUGAGCCUUUAACUGUUUAUUGUUUUCAUCACAAUAUUUUUAUUUUCUUUGCGCUUGUACAAAAGGCAAAUAAAGUUAUGCGAACGCGAUAAAUUGCUUUGUUGCAUGAAUAUUUCUUAAA